GGCACAUGUUCUCAGAAGGAUCUGGAGCCUUGUUCUGGAAACAGAUGAUCCUUCUUGUGGCAAUCGUCAGAAGGUCAACAGGAGCCUAACGCUACCUCAGGAUGCCUAUGAUGCCUACGUCACACUCCUCACCUCAUCUCACCACAUUGGCACUUUGUCAUCUCAAAACAUCACAAGAAGAAGAAGAGGAGGAGGGAGACAGUUGGUUUGGUAUAGACCUGAGAGACAUAAGGAUAAACAUCAUAAUUCCUGAAGCAAAGAUGUUUUGUUCUGGCCUGCUGUGAGGGGUGUUCGAUUCCAGGGCAGCCCAUUUAUGGCUGUUCAGUUUCACUGAGUGUUUUCAGCACUGUAAGCCUAACCUUACCAUGGUCCUAGGAUGAAGUAAGUAUUACUAUUUUCAUUCCUUAGGUGAGGAAACUGACAAAGAGGAAGGUUGUUUUAUAGCUGAGCCUGAGGU